rnacentral:tRNA from 1 species
GGAUGGGUGGCCGAGCGGUCUAAGGCACCGGUCUUGAAAACCGGCGUGGGCGCGAGCCCACCGUGGGUUCGAAUCCCACCCCAUCCGCCA